rnacentral:rRNA from 1 species
GACGAACGCUGGCGGCGUGCUUAACACAUGCAAGUCGAACGGAGCGCCCUGGAUAGAGACUUCGGUCAAUUGAAAGGGUUGCUUAGUGGCGGACUGGUGAGUAACGCGUGAAGAACCUGCCUUCCAGAGGGGGACAACAGUUGGAAACGACUGCUAAUACCGCAUGACACAUGAUCGGGGCAUCCCGGACAUGUCAAAGAUUUAUCGCUGGAAGAUGGCUUCGCGUCUGAUUAGCUAGUUGGCGGGGUAACGGCCCACCAAGGCGACGAUCAGUAGCCGGACUGAGAGGUUGAUCGGCCACAUUGGGACUGAGAUACGGCCCAGACUCCUACGGGAGGCAGCAGUGGGGAAUAUUGGGCAAUGGACGCAAGUCUGACCCAGCAACGCCGCGUGAAGGAAGAAAGGCUUUCGGUUGUAAACUUCUUUAAGAGGAAGAGUAGAAGACGGUACCGUCUUGAAUAAGCCACGGCUAACUACGU